AUGUGAGGCACCCAUGGUAAAGGGUGAUGGAGGAGUUUGGAUUCAUAUGGGGUUGAGUAGAAUUGGUUUGUCCUCUGGUUGAGUUUGUAGCAGCAAACUUGGGGCUGGGGAAAUGGCUUUUUACUUGUGAGCACUUGGGAUGAAACCUUGUCUAGUGUCCCUAGCUAUGCAAGGACUACAUGACCACCAAAUUUCAGCUCAGGGAGAUGAAAGUAGCUAGCACUUGUAAUACAAGGCUAUAUUUCUG
rnacentral:lncRNA from 1 species